CCUACGGGGGGCAGCAGUAGGGAAUAUUGCUCAAUGGGGGAAACCCUGAAGCAGCAACGCCGCGUGGAGGAUGAAGGUUUUCGGAUUGUAAACUCCUUUUGUUAGAGAAGAUAAUGACGGUAUCUAACGAAUAAGCACCGGCUAACUCCGUGCCAGCAGCCGCGGUAAUACGGAGGGUGCAAGCGUUACUCGGAAUCACUGGGCGUAAAGAGCGCGUAGGCGGGAUAGCAAGUCAGAUGUGAAAUCCUAUGGCUUAACCAUAGAACUGCAUUUGAAACUGUUAGUCUUGAGUGCGGCGGAGGCAGGCGGAAUGCGCGGUGUAGCGGUGAAAUGCAUAGAGAUCGCGCAGAACCCUGAUUGCGAAGGCAGCGUGCCGUGCCGCCACUGACGCUGAUGCACGAAAGCGCGGGGAUCGAACAGGAUUAGAUACCCCUGUAGUC
rnacentral:rRNA from 1 species